rnacentral:rRNA from 1 species
AGUGAACGCUGGCGGUAGGCCUAACACAUGCAAGUCGAACGGCAGCACAGUAAGAGCUUGCUCUUACGGGUGGCGAGUGGCGGACGGGUGAGGAAUACAUCGGAAUCUACUUUUUCGUGGGGGAUAACGUAGGGAAACUUACGCUAAUACCGCAUACGACCUACGGGUGAAAGCAGGGGAUCUUCGGACCUUGCGCGAUUGAAUGAGCCGAUGUCGGAUUAGCUAGUUGGCGGGGUAAAGGCCCACCAAGGCGACGAUCCGUAGCUGGUCUGAGAGGAUGAUCAGUCACACUAGAACUGAGACACGGUCCAGACUCCUACGGGAGGCAGCAGUGGGGAAUAUUGGACAAUGGGCGCAAGCCUGAUCCAGCCAUACCGCGUGGGUGAAGAAGGCCUUCGGGUUGUAAAGCCCUUUUGUUGGGAAAGAAAAGCAGCAGGUUAAUACCCCGCUGUUCUGACGGUACCCAAAGAAUAAGCACCGGCUAACUUCGUG